UGUUCUUGAAGCUUAAGAGACAAUGGGUUUUUUCCUUUUAAGUUUUUUUUCUUUCUUUUUUAUGGGCUCCUUUCUCUGUCUUUAGCUUGUUUUCUUGGUCAUUUUUCUUUUAGUUUGUUGGAUGCUUUUGCUUCUGAUUCGAUUUUUCUUUUGCUUCAUCAUUCAACUUGGUUGAUUUCGUGGUUUUGUUUAGUUGUUUUUUUUUUGUUUUUCUUUGUGUGGUAUUGCUUUUCUCAUUUUAAUCCAUUUUUUUCUUUUUGUUUGUGGGUUUUGUUUCUAUCAUUUGUAUUUUUUUACAAGUUAUGGUCAAUUUGCUUCACCAUUUGGUAUUUGGAGAUUUAUUAUUUGCGUUUUUUUUUCUUUCGAACAGUUACGUUUCUUAGGAAUUAGUUCUUUUCUUUGGAUGUGUAAGUUUUCUUAUAAGUUUCAUUGUAUCUUUUUGCAGGUUGUGCUCUUUUGUAUAUUACUUUAAGUUUUCAUAUUUGAUUUUUUUUGUUUUAGUUGUGGGUUUUCUUAUUGUAUUUGGUUGUACUCUUUUUCUUUUGUUUCAUGUGAUCGUUAUCUUUUUUAUAUUUUGUCGGGGCAUUCAUUUUUUGGGUUCUUUAUUGUUUUCAUUGUUUUUGUUGUUUUACGUUAAUUUUAUCUGGUUUGUUUGCUUUACCUUCAUGUUGUGGGCAUUUUGGAGCUAUCUUUUUGUUAUUGUUUCUUAUUGUUUUCUGUUUGAGAUUUGUUCUUAAGAGAGAUUUGAAAUUAAAUGGCAUCGUUUUGGAGGCAAGGGAAAAUGAGUCAUUUUUUAUUCAAGCGGUGUUGCUUCAGGAAGAAAUAGAAGCUGCAAAACGGUAACAUUUUGGAGAUUGACCAGUUGAAUCCUUGAAGUGGGCCCGAUUCUCUUGGGCCAAUCCAAGUCCAAGGAAGAUCAUGAGGCAGCUGGUAACUAGGUCGAGGUGUCUUCGUAUAUUCGACCCUUAGUAGGUGUCUUGGCAUUCAACAGUUGUACAUUCGUUCGAGUCUCUCCUCUGGAAGUUGAGUACUCUUUUGUUGUGUAUAGACAGACCCAAUGUAAAUUAUUAAUACAUAUGUUUAGACAACACAUGUAUAUUAGAUUGUUAAUGCCAUUAUGAGUUGGCAAUGAAUAGCAUUAUCUUGAUUUUAAAUUAU